AGCAGCCGCGGUAAUUCCAGCUCCAAUAGCGUAUAUUAAAGUUGUUGCAGUUAAAAAGCUCGUAGUUGAAUUUUGGGUCUGGCCGGGCGGUCCGCCCUCUGGGUGAGCACUGUUCCGACGCCGGGCCUAUCCUUCUGGUGAGUCGGCAUGUCCUUUAUUGGGUGUGCCGGGGAACCAGGACCAUUACCUUGAAAAAAUUAGAGUGUUCAAAGCAGGCGUAUGCUCGGAUACAUUAGCAUGGAAUAAUGAAAUAGGACGCGUGGUGCUAUUUUGUUGGUUUCUAGAACCGCCGUAAUGAUUAAUAGGGAUAGUUGGGGGCAUUAGUAUUCAAUUGUCAGAGGUGAAAUUCUUGGAUUUAUUGAAGACUAACUUCUGCGAAAGCAUUUGCCAAGGAUGUUUUCAUUAAUCAAGAACGAAAGUUAGGGGAUCGAAGACGAUCAGAUACCGUCGUAGUCUUAACCAUAAACUAUGCCGACUAGGAAUC
rnacentral:misc_RNA from 2 species